UAUAGUGUUGAUUAACAAGAUGUAAAUAAUCAACAUUGAUUUAUAUUGCUUUCUCUGCAAAACUGUGUUACAUGUAAAGAUCACAAAUGCAGUUUUCAUUUCUUUGUUUUUCCAGAAAACAAAAUGUUAUUACUGGCUGAAGGACCAAAAUUGAAUGGACAGAGAAGACGGUUGUCAAAACUCAAACAGAAGUUGUGUCACUCAGCUACAUUAAAACAUAAAACUGAAGGCAGAAGCAACAAAUACAACAUGUGAAGAAUGAAGCAACAGCGUAAUAAAACUCGGGAGGAGAUGUUGAUGGCGUCAAGGGAAAGAUAUGCCAUUCAGAGGGACAUAAGCAAUAAUCAUGAGGAACGGGUUUCUCUUUAAAAAAAAUAAAUUCUAAAUUGCUCAAUUGUUUCUGGAACUUUUAAUUGAUUUUACAUGUGAUGGUGUUCAGUGAGUCUAUGAAACUUAUUAUUACACAUACUAUCAUGUAAGAUAUAAAUUGUCAUAUGAAUUAUAAUACCAUGCCCAGUUAAUAUAUUGUACUUCCUGAUUAAUAAUAAAUAUUUGUGAAUGUU